rnacentral:tRNA from 1 species
GGGGAUAUAGCUCAGUUGGUAGAGUACUUGCCUUGCAUGCACAAGGCCCUGGGUUCAAUCCCCAGUACCACAA